CCUACGGGUGGCUGCAGUGGGGAAUUUUGGACAAUGGGCGAAAGCCUGAUCCAGCCAUGCCGCGUGAGUGAAGAAGGCCUUCGGGUUGUAAAGCUCUUUCAGACGGAAAGAAAACUUCGAGGCUAAUACCUUCGGAGGAUGACGGUACCGUAAGAAGAAGCACCGGCUAACUACGUGCCAGCAGCCGCGGUAAUACGUAGGGUGCGAGCGUUAAUCGGAAUUACUGGGCGUAAAGCGUGCGCAGGCGGUUUUGUAAGACAGCUGUGAAAUCCCCG
rnacentral:rRNA from 1 species